GCCUGGGUGGCUUAGUGGGUUAAGUGCCCGACUUCGGCUCAGGUCAUGAUCUCGCGGUCCGUGAGUUUGAGUCCCGCCUCCGGCU
rfam:Felis catus isolate Cinnamon breed Abyssinian chromosome B3, whole genome shotgun sequence.